GUGGAUUAGAUACCCGGGUAGUCCAUGCCGUAAACGUUGGGCACUAGGUGUGGGGCUCAUUCCACGAGUUCCGUGCCGCAGCAAACGCAUUAAGUGCCCCGCCUGGGGAGUACGGCCGCAAGGCUAAAACUCAAAGGAAUUGACGGGGGCCCGCACAAGCGGCGGAGCAUGCGGAUUAAUUCGAUGCAACGCGAAGAACCUUACCAAGGCUUGACAUAUACCGAAAACUCAUGGAGACAUGGGGUCCGCAAGGGCGGUAUACAGGUGGUGCAUGGCUGUCGACAACU
rnacentral:rRNA from 1 species